rnacentral:rRNA from 1 species
UACAGAGGUCUCAAGCGUUGUUCGGAUUCAUUGGGCGUAAAGGGUGCGUAGGCGGCGCGGUAAGUCGGGUGUGAAAUCUUGGAGCUUAACUCCGAAACUGCAUUCGAUACUGCCGUGCUUGAGGACUGGAGAGGAGACUGGAAUUUACGGUGUAGCGGUGAAAUGCGUAGAUAUCAGGAGGAAUACCGGUGGCGAAAGCGACUCUCUGGACGGCAACUGACGCUGAGGCACGAAAGCGUGGGGAGCAAACAGG